rnacentral:rRNA from 1 species
UACGUAGGGUGCGAGCGUUAAUCGGAAUACUGGGCGUAAAGCGUGCGCAGGCGGUUUGUAAGCCAGAUGUGAAAUCCCCGGGCUUAACCUGGGAAUGGCAUUUGGGACUGCAAGGCUCGAGUGCGGCAGAGGAGACUGGAAUUCCUGGUGUAGCAGUGAAAUGCGUAGAUAUCAGGAGGAACACCGAUGGCGAAGGCAGGUCUCUGGGCUGACACUGACGCUCAUGCACGAAAGCGUGGGGAGCAAACAGG